UUCUUUUUUUAACUUAAAAAAUCCCAAGGUGGCUAGGUUAACAAUACUCUCCUAAUAGAAGAAAAGGUGUUUACUAAAAAGUCUCCAAAUUUUAAACUUUCUAUUUAAUAAAUUAAUUAAACCCAAAAUUGACUAGUAUACUAAUGUUUUAAAUGGAAAACCUGUCCUUAUUAAAAACUAAAAUUUCUCACUUUUUAAGAAGCAGGGCUUGUUUACUUUCUGCUAUUCAUUUUCCAUUUUCUAGGAA
rnacentral:misc_RNA from 1 species